AAGCUAAGGUUUCAGCCGUCUCCCUUCCUACCACCGGUCUCCUCGAGGACAUUAGGGUAGAAUGGAAGAAGGAUCCAGAGAUCAGUAACAUCAUAAAAAAAUUGGAGGAGGAUCCAAGUGCAAUAGCCCACUAUACUUGGGAUUCGAGGGAUCUACGCUACAAAGGUCGCAUUGUGCUUAUACCUGACUCCCCUUGCAUCGCAGUCAUCUUGCAUGAAAUGCACUCCAUACCUUCAGCAGGGCACU
rnacentral:lncRNA from 1 species